rnacentral:rRNA from 1 species
GAUGAACGCUGGCGGCGUGCCUAAUACAUGCAAGUCGAGCGAACAGACGAGGAGCUUGCUCCUCUGACGUUAGCGGCGGACGGGUGAGUAACACGUGGAUAACCUACCUAUAAGACUGGGAUAACUUCGGGAAACCGGAGCUAAUACCGGAUAAUAUAUUGAACCGCAUGGUUCAAUAGUGAAAGACGGCUUUGCUGUCACUUACAGAUGGAUCCGCGCCGCAUUAGCUAGUUGGUAAGGUAACGGCUUACCAAGGCGACGAUGCGUAGCCGACCUGAGAGGGUGAUCGGCCACACUGGAACUGAGACACGGUCCAGACUCCUACGGGAGGCAGCAGUAGGGAAUCUUCCGCAAUGGGCGAAAGCCUGACGGAGCAACGCCGCGUGAGUGAUGAAGGUCUUCGGAUCGUAAAACUCUGUUAUUAGGGAAGAACAAAUGUGUAAGUAACUAUGCACGUCUUGACGGUACCUAAUCAGAAAGCCACGGCUAACUACGUG